AUAUGUUAGGAUUUAUUCUGUUGCUAUGACAACCCCAAAUGACGGAUUGGCAACUGGUGUGGGGGAUUUACUCAGAGAGUUUGCGUGAGGCCUCGUCAACAUUGGAGAGGAUAAAAAGCAAGAGAGAGAGGCGGUUGGGGUGGUUUUUCUCCCUUGUGAAAAGUCGUUUUAUUGGGUGGUAAUAGUUACUGGAGGACGGGUGAAUGAAGAGGAAAGUGUUGCUUUGAUGAGGGAUUCGAGGACAACAGAAGGAGAGUGAAAUACCCUGUUUGCAUUGGAGAGGAGUUAAGUAACUGAGAACUGAGUCUCGUAAUUGUACACGUUCGACACUGAAUUGGAUGUGGUUUGGAGUGUUUGGAUCACGAUCAUAAAUAUCACUGAGUGGAUUGUAUUGAUUCAUUACCGAUCUCUUACCUCUCCCUCCUUUAUAAAUGGUGAUGUGAACUCUGCCUGUGACGGUGAAGAAAAACAUCUCAGGACAUCCUCAGCGGCAUUGAAGAUCGCGCCCCCUCCCCUCGGACAGAGACCCGAACGAGAAGAGAUGCCCUGUUGAAAUAUUUACCAUCUGCCUCAGUAAAAGCCCUGUGUAAUCUGUCGACUUUGAGUCUGCUGUAUCCUUGCAACUUAUCUGUAUGAAACCCCGCACAGCCUGCUGAUGUCGAAUGUGCUGCAUCCUUGUAGCCCACCUGUGCUGAGAAAAGUGGCUGUUCCCUCUGUCACGAAUCUGAGGCUGGCACGCUCUGUCUGAAAUAUCCACUCUGUCGGUGUCAGGAGAAGCCACCUUACCGUAAGACUGUGCACCUGCCGUAUACGUACUCGACUGAUAUCAUUCACGUCAAAUUUCGCAUCUGUGAAGGAAGGAUGGAAGGUUGGAAUUACAUACUUACCGGAGGAGACUUACCAGACCUCUCUCAUGCCAAACACCUCCCCACCUUAAGGCUGUGUACCUGCCGUAUACGUACCCGACUGAUAUCAUUCACCUCGAAUUCCGCACCUGUGAAAGAAGGAAGGAAGGUUGGAAGUACUUAAUUAUCAGAGGAGACUUACCAGACUGCUGGUUUGCCAAUCGUAUCCCCACCUGUGAAAUGCCUACUUGACCACCCAUCUGUCCAUCUAUUGCGGGGCCCGCACAGAGGAAGAGGGUGGGAGAGUCCCCGGUCGCUGCACUGUUCUCCUACGAUCCCUGAGGGCAACAAAGAAGAAGAUUUUAGAUUAGGAUUUCCAAUUUGCUUUUACUUUAAAAUAAAACUUGUUAAAUUUAUUCUCUGUCUCCGACUCUUCCCUCUGAUACGCUCCUCGAGGUGGUCCUG